ensembl:processed_transcript expressed sequence AA465934
GAUGCAGGCCCGAAGAGGCGGAGGGGAGAGGACGCGGGAAGCCAGUGUGCUCCGGACGCAGUGUCCUAGUGCUCGAUUGGGUCAUCCUCUGCAGCGCUGAUUGUCCCUGUCCAAGACUGCGGAAUGAAGAAUCCAGCUUUGAGAACCUGUGUGUAAGCCCUCUCUGGUCAGCAAAGGAAUCUGUGCCGAGCGCCAUGAAUUAGAGGAUGGAGGAAUGAGUGCUUGAAGAUGCCCGAGGUAUGGUCCUUAUCCGUGUGACAUUUGGAGGUCCAGGUGAGAAAUCAGGGUUGAAAACUGCAUGGAGGAUUCAUCAUUUCUGCCCUGAAUUGGAAUCAAUUUCUUAUUGACUUAUUAUUACUGUAUUAAAAGUGUUUUUAAUUAACC